UUAAUCUGCAAUGUUUUAUUUAGUUUUGACAGAAUGUAAUGCCAAUGCAUUGUGUGGAACUCAGUACUUUUCAACAUUGUUUUGUUAGCCCUGUUGCUUUAGCACUUUCAAUUAGCUGUAGUCACUGAUAUUUAACCUAUUCCCUCAGAAAGUUUAGAUUAAUUUUCUUUGCAUUGUACCGUUUCGUUUUGGAACAAUGCCUUCGUCCUCCCCAUGGUAAUUUUGAGUGACUGCCUUGCUCCUGGUGAUAUCCUCCAGACAUCUGGUGUAGGUCAGCUGCCCCCUGCUAUUUUAAUCCUGAUUGAGUGCUUAGUGCACAGCUCUGUGGAAUGUCUGUAUUCAAUGCCUCAGAGCUCCCUAUCCACCGUGUCACAGUUCAUUUAUUUUAGAGGCAGGAAAUGAUCCAAUACUAGCUCAUGGAUAACGAGGCCGAAUUGAUCAAGUAUACUCUCGAUUAGAUUGGUUACUUUCUUCUUUGCAUGCAUCUUCAGAGAUGAGAAUCUGCCUCACAUCAGCAGCAUCUGGCUGUACUUUCCAUUUGCAGGUCAGUGGGUCACACUCACAGGAGGCUAACAGAGACUCUUCGAGUGCCACCACUUCACCAAGGAGUACAGUGUAAUGGACCUAAAAAAUGUGGAGAGGAGGGUAGAGGAUGAUUCUGUUUCCAAUCUAAUGAACAACUGCUGGAAGGAGAAGCAACAGAAGGAAGGCUUGCUGUAUCAAGCUUGUUAUUUCGGAAAUAACCAAAGAGGUCCGGAGAUGGGAACCCCCGGUUGCACUAGGCUGUCUGAAAUCCAUUCUUCCUUGCACGGAUUAAGACGCCAUUUACUAUUAAUAUUGAUCACAUUGGUGAACGUAGAUCUAUGAGAACCAGUCCUGUGUUUGCCACAAGUGGAAUUUUCCCGGACUUCGACAUUCUGUCAGAUUCAUUAAUAAUGAGUCAGUGACAGUGAUUACAUUCUGCUGAAUCAGUGAACAUGUAAUAUGUAUUGAGUAAUAUGUGUCUGAGACACUGGCCUUUUUGCAUUCUGGGUAAACACACUUACCAGUGAGUGCAGAUUGGUUCUGAAUUAGACAGAGCAUUGGGUUAACAAUACUGGUACCACACAGGCUUUACAAGCACAAAAUGCACUUAUCACUUACAUAUCUGUUUAUUGAAGCUAUUGCACGUUAUUGCAUGUUUCCCCCUCACUUUCUAGAAAAUGCAUUCUGUAUCAGAUAUUAACUGUUUUUUUUCUCCAUAGGUUCUUUCACAAAUAAAAAAUGGAAGCCACAUUGAAGUUCAAGUCUUUAUAAAAGCAUUUUAAAAACACAUACCACACAUCCACUUUCUCUCUCUGGAGUAGCCAGAAUUUAUAAUCCACUACUGUUAAGGAAGAGCUU